GAUGAAGAACGUAGCGAAAUGCGAUAAGUAAUGCGAAUUGCAGAAUCCGUGAGUCAUCGAAUCUUUGAACGCACAUUGCGCCCUCUGGUAUUCCGGAGGGCAUGCCUGUUCGAGCGUCAUUAUCACCCCUCAAGCCCGGCUUGUUGUUGGAUGCAGCGCUUAUCCCGCUCCUCCCAAAGAUAAUGACGGCGUCUGCGACGACUCCUGUACACUGAGCUUUCGGGCACGUACACGGCUAGAAGUCCAGACUCGGUCGCCGUCCCCCCCGCGGGGACACCCAUUACCACAAGGUUGACCUCGGAUCAGGUAGGAAUACCCGCUGAACUUAAGCAUAUCAAUAAGCGGAGGA
rnacentral:misc_RNA from 1 species